GCGCGAGAAAGGGAGGAAGGCUCCCUUCCUUGAAAUCCUCUCGAAGGUCAAGUUUGAGUUUAGCUGUACAGAAGCGAAAGGCGUCGAAAAUGCUGCUACAGGGUCUGAGGGAAGGUUCUGCACGCAGACUGAUUUUGUAAUGGCUUUCUCCCCCUUAAACACCAGAUUAAUUUCUCUGAAACACACAAUGUACUGGCCACGUCCAGAGGCAGGAUGAUGAUAGAUAGUUUUGUAUGCCCAGAGCUAUGGUGUGUAUUUGUCUUCUACAUCAAGGCUGCAAUAUCCUUAAGCCAUAAAGCAUUGGGGAGGAGAUCAGGCAGCUUUAGAUCUACUUAGAGAGAGAAGUGCCUACACGUGGUCAGGGAAGAGUGGUGCGCGAGAUCUGUUAAAGGUGGGCAGUUAAAUGUCAGCUCCUCCAACUUACAGACAAUAGUAAAAGGUACACAAGCUUUGAAUACUGCUCUGAACUGCCCUUGAAGCACAUUGAUGGGAAAAAUGUCACAGGAGAAAAUCGCGGUUUCUGUAGUGCUUUGAGAUCCUCUAAUGGGAAAGCAGGAGAAUUGCGAAGUGACCUUGUUUCAUAGAUCUCUACUGUGACACUGGAACACUUAAAGGAUUUUCUACUGAGAAUUGAGGAAAUUCCCACUCAACACUUACACCAUGAAGAAAUUAAAUCUUGGAGAAACAGAGAAGUAAAGUAAUCUGUCCAAAGCUAACAGUGAGCAAAUGAUGGAGUCAGGUGAGAAACCACUCAUUUCAGUUCCAGAUCAGUGCCUAACCAUUGCAUGUUUCUGCCUAGCCAAGGUUCAGCAACUUGCCCAGGAAAUUUGGUAAGUGUUGGGUUGUAAAUUAGAGCCAUUGAAGUGCUUGGUUGUAAGUUCUCUCACUGUAUUUUACUUUAUUCCAAAUCAUAUUUUACUAUAUUGUAUACUUCUCAUCUUUCUCCUAAUGGAAUGUGAAUUUCUUUAAUGCAGAGAAGAUCACAUGAUUCCUUCUGUACUGAGAUUACACCCUAUUUUCUCUGGACAUUCUCCUAAUGUAAGAGGAAGCUAUUAAAAUAUAUUGAGUCAAAAAUGAAGAACUCUGCAGUCUUUAUAGGCCUGAAGAAUUACAACUGGAAUUUUGGUGAUCUAGAAAGAGUUGGCCAAGGGAAGAAGACAAUGAUUAAACCAAAACGGGGAAAAUAAUUGAUAAAAUAGGAAAGAACAAGAUAACAAACAGCAAUGUUUAUACUGCUCUUUCCACUUCCCAGACACUUUUCAUGGGUCGUGCCAUUGUGAUCUUUAUUUUAUGAAUGGGAAGACUGAGGGUCAGUUAUAUGACCUUCUCAUAUAUACAUAUGUUCUUAGAUGCAUGUAUAAAAAACAGGAAGAAAGACAGUGACCUGCUAAUCUGAGGAUCCUCUGUGGCUUUCUCAGGAUGUGUAUUGCUUGAUUUUCAUUAGAUAUUUCCUGUUCUAUACUCCCUGUACUACUGACUUGUCUUCUACCAGUCCUGUCAUGGUACCAAGAUGAUCCUUCCAAAAUCCUGCUCCUCUGCUAUACUUCAGUGUCUCUUAAGAGCAAAAUGACAUGAUACAUGAAAAGUGUCUGGCAAAUAGAAAGGAUUAUAGAUUUCAUGUGUUGAAAUUGAAUCCCCAUUGGGAAGUGGAAACUUAAUAUGACUAUGGUGUUUAGAAGUGUGGCCUCUGGGAUCUGAUUAGGAUUAGAUAAGUUCAUUACCAUGGGGUCCCCAUGACUGCAUCUUGGUGACGUUAUAAGAGAGACUGGAAGAUACAUGCACACACUCACACCCACCCUGUUUCUUGCCAUGCUAUGUCCUGAGCCACCUAAGCACUCUUCCAUAAAAAGUCCAUUUACCAGAUGCAGCCCACAACCUUGUACCUCUGGAACUGUAAGUAAACCUUUUUGUCUUCAUAGUGUACAUAAAGGUAUUUCAACAUAAUAACAAAAAGGACUAUUACAUCCUCUUUGGUUUAAAAUAUUUGAUUGUUCCUUAUUGUUUACAGGUUAUGUGACCUACUGUACCACAGCUCUGCUUUACAUUUUUAUCUUCAUUUCAGGCACUUUCCUCAGAUCUUUUAAUAUGAUUGCUUUAAAAUCCUUUUCAUUCCAGGAUGGACCACAUACUAACUCUUUUGUGACUUUAUCCAUGUUGUUCUCUCUGCCUGGAAUGUUCUUCUUUUCUCUCUCUCUCUUUUUUUUUUUUUUCACUCAUCCUGUAGGAUAAAGUUCAAAUGUAUUUCUUGCUGAAGGCUUUUUAUGAAUCUAUGGGUGAAAUUAACAUAUUAUCUCAUUAAUAUUAACUACAUUUUUAAAAACAGUAGCAGCUAACAUCUACUGAAUGCUUAAAUGCUCCAAUUCUAUUACUACUGAUGAAUAAAAAGAGAUUCAGUGAUGUUUUAGUCAACUUUUCUUGCUGCUGUGACCAAAAGACUCGAGAAGAACAGAUUUAGAGGUCUCAGUCCAUAGACAGCUAGCUCCAUUCUUCAGGGUUCGAAGUAAGGCAGAACAUCAUGGUUGAAGAGUGUGGUGGAGGAAAGUAGCUCAUGACUACCAGGUAAUGAGGGUGGGGAGGAAGCGGCCCUCUCACCACAGACAAAAUAUAAACCCCAAGGGCAUGCUCUCAUUGACUCACAUCCUUCAGCCAAACCCUGCCUGCCUACAGUUAUCACACAAUUAAUCCCUAUAGUAGAUUAAUGCACUGAUUAGGUUAAAGCUUUCAUAGCCCAAUCAUUUCACCUCUAAACUUUAUUGCAUCAUCUCACACAUGAGCUUUUGAGGGAUACCUCAUACUAAAUCCUAAUGAGAGACUUUGUAUAACUGCCCAAGAAGAUUUGGGUGGUAAAUUGUCAGAUCCAACUACCCAAACCAUUAGCUUAAUCACUUUCUUUGUUUCUUCCAUUGAUACCACAUAUUAGAGUGCAUGUUUAUUUAUCUCUCUCUUCAAAAACAAGAAUUUUAGAAAGGCAGCUAUUGGUUUGCUUUUGUGUUCUUUAUGCAAAAGAGCAGAAAUAGCUCUUUAUGCAUGAUGCAGAAGGAGCUCUAAACAUAGUUAAAAGACUAAUUGGAUAUCACACAUUACUCAUUCUUUGGGCUACAUUUUCCUCACUUGGACCACUUUAUUCUAGGCCACAGAUCAGCAUUGUACUACUUCAGUCUGUUCUCCCACUUUAAUGGCUUCUAAAGUCACUAUUCAUAAAAUUGACCAGCUUGACAACAGUUUACCUAUGAGCAUAUUUAUUUACCACCUUUAAAAGGCUUGAAUUGAAAACUAUACCCUAGACAUGAUCUCUAUAAAACUUGGAAUGCAGGCACUCUCAUUGCUGUUUUAUAUUUUGAGUUGAAUCAGAACUAGAUUUAAUCUUAUUAUUUUUUUAAUUUUUAUUUUUUGUAGUUGUUGAUGGACAGAAUGCUUUUAUUUUAUUUGUUUAUUUUUAUGUGGUGCUGAGGAUCAAACCCAGUGUCUCAUGCAUGCUAGACAAGCGCUCUGCUGCUGAGCUACAGCCCCAGCCCCAAAUCUUAUAUUUUUGAUAGGCACAAACUUCAAUAUCACAAUGUCAGAAUGUUCCCUUCCCUUUCUUUGAAUUAUCCAAGAAUUCUGCAGAUUUUCAGAGUCCUUGAAGAAGUCACAUGGCCACUGUUUGCCUUUAAGAACUUGGUGUCUUGGGUCUUCUGAGGUCUUGUGGCAUUGUUUCCUAUCACCAUGUUCCACUGCACAGAACUCUAAGCCAGGAAGAUCCUUUUGAAUGAGAGUGAUCUCACCAUAACUCAGAUCUUGGCACCCAUCCUUUAAUAUCAUAUAGCACCCAAGAAACCCCUACAGAUAUGCCAGGCUGGAAGGUACCCUCCAUCUCAGAAUCUAGUGUCCUACAUUUGACUCCUCAGAAUUCACUCACAAGGGCCAGUAGUCUUCCUUUUCCCUGGCUACACACAAAGGACCCAUUUUCUUCCUUCCUGUGACAAUAGAGCUUGUUUGUUAUUAAAGGGUUGAGACUAUUGAAAAAUGUAAUGUCUGCUUACUUCCGUAUUCUGGUGAGGGAAACAUCUCCUUUCCUUCACGAAGAUUCCAUUUUUGAAGGGCAGAAUAGUAAACUUCAUGCAUUUCUUGCUAAGGCAGCAAUAGCCAAGCACCACUUGUCUUCAGCAGGCUAUCCUGCUAAUUGGUGAAGUCUUUAGGGGGCACCCUGUUUAAAAAAAAUGCCAGAACUUACUUGUACAUAAAAGUGAGAGUUUUUCUCUCUAAAGGAGCCACUUCCACAUAACAAUUAUACAACCAUUGUUCAUUUUUUUGAAUUCUUUUUUUAGUUUUUUUUAGAGCCUACAGUCCAAUGUUUUUAUUACUCCCAAAGAGAGCAAAUAUUUAUACUUGAAAAUGGAUUUGAUUUUGGAAGGAACCCAGUGUUAUUUGGCUUAGUGUUCUAAGUAAAAUCAGUGUGAAAAGCUGUUUUUGGUUCAAAAGGAGGCAAAACUAUAAUGUAAUGACACUGAUUUGUGAGUCUUACCAAAUCCAAAAGGGGAUUUCCAAAUAUAGUGUCAGUGAUGGAGUAUUAGGGUAGUAAGAAUUAUCACCCCCAAAUUUGACUACACUAGCAAUGUCACAAAUUUGAAUACAAACAUCAUGGAGUAUUUAUGAACAACCAGUCCUGUUCCUAUCUUAAAGGCACAGUUUGCAAUUAUGUCCCAAAUUGUGACUGAAAAUCUCUAAUAAUGGGCUAAUGCUUCUUAGAUUCAUUGUAAGGGUGAAUCCCUGAGUUGGUGUUCAAAUCAGAUUUAUGAACACUGGCAUAAGUCCUGAGAAUCAGCAUUUUCCACCUGCUCCCAACUGAUGGACCAGGGACAUCUCUUAGCAUAUCAAUACCUUGGACUCCUUAGCCCUGUUAAGCAAGUUACAUUGGUUUAAAUUGAGUAUUGCUACUCACAUUAAGCUACACAUGGGUUAGUUUGUUCCUUGGAAAAAUAUUUGUUUGUGCUCAUAUACAUAUGAACUUUGCCUCAGAACAGAAUUUUCUAUGUACUUUAUUGAUGUAGAAACAGCAAAGACCCUGUGCCAUUUUUCUUACAUUGGAUAUUUCUUUAUUCAGAAUAUAACAGAUAUUUCUAUUGGAAAAAUAGUAAAGCACUUUAAAUAUUUACCCUAACUAAUCAUUACAUGGCAGAUAUCAUCACAUAUGAAAAAUCAAAGUACAUUUUGAUAUAUAUUUAAAGCUGCUAUUUUGGAUAUGACAAUUUUUGAAACUGAUGUAACAGAAGUUUUGCUAGCUAGCUAAAAACAAAACCCUUUUCACAACUAAAAUGUAAACAGCUAAGAUGUAAUCAGAAGACCAAAUUUCACAGCUACAAAAAACACAGCUGUGAAACAUAACUUUGGAGUGUAAGAAAGCCAAAUAUCUUUGCAUGCUAAUAAUGGAUAUUACAAAUGAAAAUGAGAAAGACUGUGCUAGAAAUUUUUAGUGUUUAAAUACCUUCACUCCUGUUAUCUGUUUAAUGGAGAAUAUUCUCAAGUACUUGCCAUAUAUUUAUUUUUUUUGAAUGUCUACUCUGUUUAUCUUGCUAGGAACUAGAAAAACAGAGAUGUGCCUGUUGUGUUUACUUUCUCAGUUUUGUGAUAAAACUUUUGAAUUGUGACACUUUUGGAUUGAGGGAGUUAGUGGACCUGUUUAUUUACUAAAUUUUUCUGCACAUUUUUAUCAUCUGUAAAAGAAGGUAUGUGAACUACAGAACUACAUAUUUUAAAUGUUUUCUUAAGUUUUGAAAUUCUCUGUAUAUAUCUUUUGAUCAGUCCAAAGGCAUUUUUCAAGGAAAUAUACUGUCAGGGUGUUGUAGUGAUCCUUGCCACAGAUGGUGAGAGAAAGAUAUUCUACUUUGGUAUGUCUGAAACAAGAGGUUUAGGUUAUGAAGUUUAUAUAAGAGUUUAAGGAAUUUGUCUCAGGUGAAGGGAUAGUUUCAACAUGUUUAGCAAAAGGGACAAUCUCUUAGUGUUUUUUGGGGGGUGGGGUGGGGCGGAAGUCUAAACAGCUUUCUAAGUGCAUAGGAAUUUUCACGGCCCAGUUUUGGUUUUCAGCCUUAAUGGAGAAGACAAGUAGUUGGGAGGUCUCAGAGCUGUCAAGGCAUUCUGUGUUUCUAAGUCAGAUCACAGAAAGCAAGGAGGAAGGCCUUUGAGUAGUGGGGCAGAGGUAGAUGUGGAUGUCUGAAAGUCAUAUAAUGCUUGAAAAGAAUGUGUGUUCCCUGAUAAUUGAUUGCAUAGUUUAGUGAAAUUCAUUAAACUGAUUUCAUUAAAUUUAUUUUGAUAAAUUUCUAUAACUAUUAAUUUUAUCUAAUUAGCUCAUUAGUAUUUAAAAGAGGCAGGUAAGUCUCUCUUAAUCAUUUUGAUUUCUCAAUUGAAAUCCUAUUUUUUUAAGUUCACAUUUUGUAAGUAGAUAGAUCUAUCCUAGUAGCUACCUCCAUAUUCUUUUGAUUGUAGUAUUUGAAAACCUAAGGUCUUUUAAAAUUUAGAAUCUAGAAUAAUUAUUAAGAGCAAAGUUUAGCAAACUGUAGUCUGUAGGCUGAAUUCAGUCCAAUAUCUGUUUUUGUAAGAAACUUUUAUUUGAACACAGCCACAUUUAUUCAUUUAUAUAUUGUUUAUGUGUACUCUCAAGAUACAAUGGGAAGACGCUGAGUAGCUGUGACAGAUUACAUGUGUUAGUAAGCUUUUUGUUGCUGUAACCAAAAUGAUCUACAAGAACAAGUUACAGGUGGAAAAGUUUAUUUUGGUUUGUGACUUCAGAGAUUUAGUUCAUGCUUGGUCAACUCUAUUGCUAUGGAACCAAGGUAAGACUGAAUAUCAUGGGAGGGAGAGUGGCAGUGGAAGAAAGUUGCUUGCCUCAUGGCAGCUGGGAAGGACAGAAAGAGAAAGAGAGGAGCUAAGAGGACAAGAGACAAUCCCCCAGGGCAGACUUCUAGUGACCCACCUCCUGCAGCCAUGCCCCACCUGCCCACAGUGACCGUAUAACAUAGUAGUUCUUUCAAAUUAUUAAUCCAGCUCAUGGAUUAAUCCACUAAUUACAUUACAGAUCUCAUCAUCUAAUCAUGAGCUCUUGGGGGACACCUCAUAUCCUAACCAUAACUAUUUAUUUUCUAAAACAUUAUAUAAAAAAUUUGUUGACCUCUGAUCUAGCUUAAUAAUCUUUUGGAUCAAUAAACAUGCUUUUCUUCAAGUACUUAGAGGAUUAUGAAAUUGUUUCAUUAUGUUAGCAGUGUAACAGGAGCUGUGAUGUGGAAGAUAUGCCUGGAUCAUAUAAACCAGCUUCUGUUUUUUGGUCUGGGGUUGUCCAAAAGAGAACUUACUUGGGUUUAAUUUACAGAGGCCAGCAGGAUCUGCAUCAGGUAAAAGUCACAUCUGCUGUCAAGGGAGAAACAAGAAUGUCAGAGAGUCAGAGGGACACUCUUUGAGCCUGAUAAGAUUCAUCCUCAGCGACUCAGACAGGAACAUUUUCAACCAAUAUGUGGACCUCUGUAAUAAAAGCCAGCCAAGAAAGCCAUGAGCUUUUUUUUUUAAAGUUGUUCUUUUUUAAAAAAUUUAUAUAUGACAGUAGAAUGCAUUACAAUUCAUAUUAUACAUAUAGAGCACAAAUAUUUCAUAUCUCUGGUUCAUGUCUUCAUACAUGUACUUUGGAUAAUGAUGUCCAUCGCAUUCCACUAUCAUUUCUAACCCUAUGCCCCCUCCUUUUCCCUCCCACCCCUCUGCCUUAUCUAGAGUUCAUCUAUUUCUCCUAUGAUCCCCCUCCCUACCCCACUAUGAAUAAGCUUCCUCAACCAUAUACAACAAAAUAAAAUUAAACCCCUAUCUCUCACCAUGCACAAAACUCAACUCAAAAUGGAUCAAGGACCUAGGAAUUAAACCAGAGACCCUGUGUCUAAUAGAAGAAAAAGUAGGCCCUAAUCUCCAUCAUGUGGAAUUAGGCCCCACCUUUCUUAAUAGGAAUUCCAUAGUGCAAGAAUUAAAAUCAAGAAUCAAUAAAUGGGAUGAAUUCAAACUAAAAAGUUUCUUCUCAGCAAAAGAAACAAACUGUGAAGUGAACAGUGAGCCUACAUCUUGGGAGCAAAUUUUUACCCCUCUCACAUCAGAUAGAGCACCAAUCUCUAGGAUAUGUAAAGAAUUCAGAAAGCUACACAAAAACAAUAAAUAACCCAAUCAAUAAAUGGGCCGAGGACCUGAACAUACACUUCUCAGAAGGUGAUAUACAAUCAAUCAACAAAUAUAUGAAAAAAUGUUCAUCAUUGCUAGCAAUUAGAGAAAUGUAAAUCAAAACUACUCUCAGAUUUCAUCUCAUUCCAAUUGGAAUGGCUGCUAUUAUGAAUACAAACAACAAUAAGUGUUGGCAAGAAGGUGGGGAAAAAGGUACACUCAUACACUGCUGGUGGGGCUGCAAAUUGGUGUAGCAAAUAUGGAAAGCAGUAUGAAGAUUCCUUGGAAAAUUAGGAGUGGAACUACCAUUUGACCCAGCUAUCCCUCUCCUUGGUCGAUACCCAGAGGACUUAAAAAUAACAUACUACAGGGACACAGUCACAUCAAUGUUUAGCAGCACAAUGCACAAUGGUUAAACUGUGGAACCAACCUAGAUGCCCUUCAGUAGAUGAAUGGAUAAAAAAAUGUGGCAUAUUUACACAAUGGAAUAUUACUCAACAAUAAAAGGGAAUAAAAUCAUGGCAUUUGCAGGUAAAUGGAUGGAAUUAGAGAAGAUAAUGCUAACUGAAGUUAGCCAAUCCCCCAAAAGCCAUGAGCUUUUAAUGCCAGAAUUUUCGAGGUAUUAUUUCACAAGAAAUAGAGGUCAAAGUUAUUACACAUUCAUGAAGAUUAAGUAGGGAUUUGCUCUGAAGAACAAACUGUUGUAUUUGAAAGAAAACAAACCCUCCCUGUGAUAAGGCGUGCAAACCUUCAAGUAUUUAAAAGGGAGGUGAGUUUUGACAUUGCUGGCGAAGAGUGUCCUGAUUGACCUACAAUAUCCACUCUUGGCAUGGUCCGCUGGCUCAGAGGAAGGUUAAACAGAGAUCGUCUUAUUUUAUUUCCUAACCAAGUCUGAGGUGGUGGAGUUUGCAGAACAGAGGAGACCAGGUCUGCGUCUCAGAACUUGUGACAGAAAGAUAGUGUAUCUUGUGUGGAGAGUGGCCUAAAGAAAAGGUGAUUGAAGGGAACCCAAUGACAACUGGGAGAAAGAUGAGGGAAAGGAGAGAGUCUGAACAAAAAACACCUUUCUAAGGCCUGCAUGGAUAGAUCUUGCUCCCCUCAGAUACAACCAAAAUAUUAAAUGUAGAAUUUAAUGAUCACUACAUUAUAUUUCAUGCUGUUUUGGAACAUCCCUUGAACAUUUGGUAAAAGAAAACUGAAAUGCACAUGUGAUCUCAGUUAGUAUCGGUCUGGUAAAAAGGGUUCUGGAAUGGUUAUCAGUCUAAAUCGACAAGAGUACCAAAUAGGCCCUUUUGUAAACCAUCAGAAAAGGGCUGCCCAGCCUGAAAGAUUAUGUGUUCUUGUUCUCUGUUUUACCCUGGGAUGGAAGUUUGAUGCCUUCUCUACUGGAUGGAGAAAAUUCCUGCUCCCUAUUCCAGAUUAACUAAAACUCUCAGUUGGAGGAGACAUUAUCAGGCAUUUGAGACUAGUAGAACUUAAUUGAAAUUUUCUUUCUGUAGUAAAUAAAAGAUUUAAAAUUAUAAAAAUAAUUUUGUUUUUGAGAGAAAACAAAAUAUCUUAUAUCAACAACAAAUUAACUUCUUUUAAAAAUUUAUUCCUCUCAAAUUUUUUUCUUUCUGUUAUGGAUACCAAUAAAUAUAUAUGAUGCUAUCAAGAAGAAUAAAAAUAUACCAAAUUCUUUUCACUUAUAAAUAUUUAAAAAUUAUUUCGUGAGUUUCAGAUAGUUUGGGGAAAAGGUUAAAUCUGAUCCAGGCAUCUGGGUUCCAUUAUUUUUUUGAUCUUCUCCUCACCUGUUGGGUCAAUAUGACUAAGAUGACAGCCCAACUAUAGGCACUAAUUACACACUAGUGGGAUCAACACAGUAGGCAGAAUAUGUUGAAAAGUCUAUGAGAGUUAUUCCAAAUGCUAAUGGGUUCUGAGGACAGGUUGAUAAUUCAUAUGUUUUUGUAUCUAGGUAGAGGUUGACCCUCAAGCAACAGAUAAUUUAAAAAUCAAUUUAAUAAAAAAUUAGCCAAAUAAAUUAGGAUAUGUUACUAAGAAGAAAAUAUUACAUAGAUCUAUAUAGAAUUGAAAAUAUUUAGAUAUCUGGAACUAAAAAAAUGCGAUUUUGUAUGCUUUAAGCUAAUAUAUAACUGAUAUCUUGAACUUCUUUUCUCCCCCUUUUCCUAUUUAUCCUAUUGCAGAUUUACCAAAGAAGAAAAAAUAAAAACAUUCCUUUCUCCACUUUUGCAAGAAGUAUUCGUAUUAAAAGUACUCAUAGUAUUUCUAAAAAUCACCAACUUGAAUCUAAUGUAUGAAAUAUGAUAUGUCAAGAGCUUUGUAAUGUUUUGAACAACCAAUAAAAAAAGAAAAAAAUAAAUCGAAAAAAAAACAAAAUCAUUGAUCCUUUGAUUUCUUAAAAAAAAAAAAAAAGUAUUUCUAAAAAUCUUAGCUAUCUUUACUGGUUUUCUCUUACCAAGUUUUCUGUUUUUGUUUUUUAGAUCCACUAAUGACCAAGAGGAAAGAUGGACAAAAGCAGUUAUUUUGAGCUGAUUUUAAAAUGGAAAGAGCAGAUUUUCCUAGCCCUAGAGGGGCUUUCUCAAAAUACAGAGAAAGGUCAUGGGUCAAUUAGGUAGAGGUGGGCAGACAUGGGCUACCAUCUCAUGCAGGACCCUGUGAAGGGUCAGGGCCUCUUGGGCACUGGUGAAUGAGUGCAGGUCCUUGAAUCUUGUAGGAGAAAGACUCCAUGCUCAAGCUUUGGAAGUUGUUUUAGA